rnacentral:rRNA from 1 species
CGGACGGGUGAGUAACACGUGGGUAACCUACCUAUAAGACUGGGACAACUUCGGGAAACCGGAGCUAAUACCGGAUAAGAUAUCGAACCGCAUGGUUCGAUAGUGAAAGAUGGUUUUGCUAUCACUUAUAGAUGGACCCGCGCCGUAUUAGCUAGUUGGUGAGGUAACGGCUCACCAAGGCAACGAUACGUAGCCGACCUGAGAGGGUGAUCGGCCACACUGGAACUGAGACACGGUCCAGACUCCUACUACGGGAGGCAGCAGCA